rnacentral:rRNA from 1 species
CAGUAGCCGCGGGAACACGGAGGGUGCAAGCGUUAUCCGGAUUUAUUGGGUUUAAAGGGUCCGUAGGCGGAUCUGUAAGUCAGUGGUGAAAUCUCACAGCUUAACUGUGAAACUGCCAUUGAUACUGCAGGUCUUGAGUAAAUUUGAAGUGGCUGGAAUAAGUAGUGUAGCGGUGAAAUGCAUAGAUAUUACUUAGAACACCAAUUGCGAAGGCAGGUCACUAAGAUUUAACUGACGCUGAUGGACGAAAGCGUGGGGAGCGAACAGGAUUAGAUACCCCGGUAGUCCCUGUCUCUUAUAC